rnacentral:rRNA from 1 species
GAUGAACGCUGGCGGCGUGCCUAAUACAUGCAAGUCGAGCGAACGGACGAGAAGCUUGCUUUUCUGAUGUUAGCGGCGGACGGGUGAGUAACACGUGGAUAACCUACCUAUAAGACUGGGAUAACUUCGGGAAACCGGAGCUAAUACCGGAUAAUAUUUUGAACCGCAUGGUUCAAAAGUGAAAGACGGUCUUGCUGUCACUUAUAGAUGGAUCCGCGCUGCAUUAGCUAGUUGGUAAGGUAACGGCUUACCAAGGCAACGAUGCAUAGCCGACCUGAGAGGGUGAUCGGCCACACUGGAACUGAGACACGGUCCAGACUCCUACGGGGGGCAGAAGUAGGGAAUCUUCCGCAAUGGGCGAAAGCCUGAAGGAGCAACGCCGGGUGAGUGAUGAAGGUCUUCGGAUCGUAAAACUCUUUUAUUAGGGAAAAAAAUAUGUGUAAGUAACUGUGCACAUUUUGACGGUACCUAAUCAGAAAGCCACGGCUAACUACGU